rnacentral:tRNA from 1 species
GCCGGGAUGGUGGAAUGGUAGACACGCUAGCUUCAGGAGCUAGUGGCCGCAAGGCUGUGCAGGUUCAAGUCCUGUUCCCGGCA